rnacentral:tRNA from 1 species
UGGCGCAGUUUGGUAGCGCGCUUCACUGGGGGUGAAGAGGUCGUGGGUUCAAAUCCCGC